UAUAAGGGCAUGUGUCCAAAGGGAAAAAGCACAGGGAAAGAACCUAACAAUUAGAUUCAAGACCUAGCUCUGUAAACUGGGUUACUGGGUCCUUCACUCAUCCUCUCUGUGUUUAGCUUCCUUCUCCGUAACAACAGAGUGGGACCAACUCAUCUGUAAGGUCCCUUCGAGGUUUCAGAACUUCAAGAGGAGGAGAUAACCACCCUGGACAUGCCUGACUCCAGAAUUGGGCUUUCUUCAGCAGAACUGCAUGCUUGGAAGUUGAGUAAGAAUGGAGAAUUCAGGCCGUGUGUGCUGAGAAAUCCCAGAUGAAGUGUGCUAAAAAUGCAGAUUUCUGACCUUGGGCAUGGUGCCAGAAAGAAGUUUUAAUGUCCAAGGGUUUUAUGCUUCAAAGAUAGACCCUUGUGAUUGUUGGUUUAAACCUCCAUACUACACAGGAAGCAAUCUGAUAUCCCACUGACUGGAACACGUAAGUUACGUUGGAUUUUCAAUUUAAAGUACAUUUAAAUGGACAUUUUAAAAGGCAGAAGGAGCAAAUUCACACAACUCCCCCAGCAGCUUGCCCAUGGGAUUCAUCAUGGGGAGAAAGCCUGGCUGAUCCUGGGCUUUCUGAAGAGGUGGGCUGUCCACUUGUCACCCCAUAUGAAGAUGCUCUG
rnacentral:lncRNA from 1 species